AACGAACGCUGGCGGCAUGCCUAACACAUGCAAGUCGAACGAGACCUUCGGGUCUAGUGGCGCACGGGUGCGUAACGCGUGGGAACCUGCCCUUAGGUUCGGAAUAACUCCCCGAAAGGGGUGCUAAUACCGGAUAAUGUCUUCGGACCAAAGAUUUAUCGCCUUUGGAUGGGCCCGCGUUUGAUUAGCUAGUUGGUAGGGUAAAAGCCUGCCAAGGCGACGAUCCAUAGCUGGUCUGAGAGGAGGAUCAGCCACACUGGGACUGAGACACGGCCCAGACUCCUACGGGAGGCAGCAGUGGGGAAUAUUGGACAAUGGGCGAAAGCCUGAUCCAGCAAUGCCGCGUGAGUGAUGAAGGCCUUAGGGUUGUAAAGCUCUUUUACCCGGGAUGAUAAUGACAGUACCGGGAGAAUAAGCUCCGGCUAACUCCGUG
rnacentral:rRNA from 1 species